ACAAAAUGACAUUUGUUUAUUUUUUUUUUUGUACAUAAAAAAUAAAUAGACAAAGAAAUGAUCAUAAAUAUCUGAGUGGAUCACAUAAUCAAACUGGUGGAAAGAAACCAAAAGUCCUAAAAGCAUUGAACUAAACAAAUUGUGCUGGUCAGUCUUAAAACAUAAUGCUGAUUAGAUUCUGUAAUUAGGAAAAAACAAAGGUCACAUCACUUAUUUCUACUCUUUCCAAAAUUGACAAACUGAAAAUAUUUGCUGGUCAGUGAUGGAAAAAUGGCUGGUUUAGAUCAUCAGAUUGUAGCCAGGAAAUAAAAAAAUUGGUUGUCAAUUUAAUGAAUAGCGGCUGACCAGUUAGUUGAUAAGAUUAGAUCCAGUGAAGUCAGUAGAUGAUAUCUGAUAAAUAGUUUCCAGUUAUUAUACCAUCAAUGAAAUAUCAUCUUGAUACAUAGAAGAAAACAAAAAGUCAGAAUGGUUCAUUAAAUCUCAACAUUAUGUCAAAUAUCAAAGCACAUCAAAGCAGCACACAGAAUAAAUUAAUCUAUUUACACUUUACACCACAAAGGGGGAUCACUCCAGUCGUAAAACUACUUGCACAUAGGAAGUUAUCUAAUUUUGUCAUUUUUAGGGAAUUCUAACUAGGUGAAGAAAAUUUGAAUGAUUCUUUCCUUUUGUAACAGACUAAGGCAAUUCACAUCCUGCUAUACAAAUUGACCAAUACAUGUCUUGGUACUUUUACUUAGAAAACGAAAGAUGUUUGUAUUUACUCUGGCACACAAAUGUUGAAGUUGAGCGUAACCCAUCCUACAAGCAAUAGUGAUGACAAUGUUUCCACACAGAGAAGUUAUAGAUCUAGUGGUCAGUGGGAUGUGAAAGUAAUUAAACUUCAGGAGGAAAGAGUGGAUGAUCACUUGUAUAAAAGAACUGAAAAGUUUGAUGUGUUCCAACAUGCGAAAGUGUACCAAGAAACAAGAUUAGUUAUCAAUACAACAAGUAGCAAUAAACCCAGAAAUGUUUAAAACAUUUUUUUUACUUUUCACUAAUGGCACAUUUUCCAUGCCUUAAGUCAGGGUUUCUCAACCUGUGGGUCGAUUGACCAUUUGCCAGGGGUCGCCUAAGACCAUUAAAAAUGUUGACUGUUAUUGUCUACCCUACUAUUCUGUAUUUGUGUAUGGGGGGGGGGG